UGUGAGUCAUCUCUUGUGCAGAUCGGAUGGGCUCUUUUGCGGUCUUCCCGUGUUCUUCAGAGUCUUCCACUCAUACAGAAUUGCUCGGAGGGUACUGCAAUGUCAGAGCAGUGUAGCUGAAUUAGCGUGUUUGGACAAAAAUCAAGAUGACAAAGUGAAUAAUUUUCUUGUCUUUUGAAAAUAAUUUUUCUUAUCGGUUUAUAAAAUUUACUUAACAAAUAAUAUCAACA
rnacentral:sRNA from 1 species